UUACUGACCUGGAAGGGGAGAUACCUUUCUCCUCAGCCUUGAAUGAUUCAGCGUAUUUGAGAGUGAAGGCCUGUCCCUCGUACUGUGGGCAGGCUAACCCCAGAAAGGCUAUCCAAUGUGAGGAACUCAGCUAUACAAUUUAUGGUGAUGGGGGAUUGCUCUUGGGAUUUCCCUCU
rnacentral:snRNA from 14 species